GUAUCCUUAGCUCAAUGGGCGAGCAGCCGCCUACGCGGAAGAUGCGGGUUCGAUUCCUGCGGGAUACG
rnacentral:tRNA from 1 species